GGAAGACGUUUGUUUGAAACAGACCGCAAUGGAGAGACCAGCGCCCAGGGAAGCGAGGGGGCAGCAGGCUCCUUCCAGCAGCAGAUGGAGAUGUGAGCCUGGGACACAGGGAGCCUCCGAGACUGGCAUUGAUUCGGGCUCAGUUCAGGGAGAACCGGGGGCUGUUUGUAAGAGGCUGAGCGGAGCAGGAACCGGUCCCGGAACUUGGAGUGAGUGGUCUGGGGUGGAAGAGAGAGGCUUUUCUCGGGCUGUGUGUGGGCCUGCUGAGGGAGACACAGCCGAAAGAAGCUGCUGGGGGUUAUUCUUGUGGCUUUUCAUCCUCUAAACUGUGAUGGAAAUUCGUCGUUCGGCUUCUGUUUCACGCUGUUUUUAGACAUUGUGCCGUGAACAGUGGAAACACAGACUAGAGGAAUGUUAUAACCCUGAAAAGGACAGGCAAAUAGUUGAAGGACCAGGAUGUUGUUAUAUUUCCUCGGUACAAAGCCAAGUGUGACCAGCUGCUUCUAACAAACAGUAGGGCUUGACGUUCCUCUCAACCAUCCCUAGAGCACAAUCAUGUUAGUUUCCAAGUUCUUCUCUGUGGAUGCCAGUCACACGUGAGCAAAGUUUGGAAUACACGUUCAGACCAGAGACUGACCAAUCCAGAAUAAACACACAAUCAGAGACUGACAAAGGGAGAAAUGCAUCAAUCUUCACUUACAGGCCCUGACACCGAGGGCAUUAGAUAAAGACUCAUUUAUGUCGAGCAGCAGAGAUUGGAACAUUCAAACAAACUCCUGCAACUUCUAAAAGUGAUAUGUUCAUUUUAAAAUGAUACUCCUGCACUGUGAAAUACAAUGACAAAUAAUGAGGAGCAGAUUGACAGAUAAUGCCAGAUACUGAAUAAAUUCCAUGUUCACUGUCAGCCCGGUACUGAUGAAAGCUCCCUUGAUCCAUGCUCACAUUCUGGUCGAGAGAGUGACUCUUGCAGAAGCAUGUACACUCUUUCUCAAUGUAUGAAAAACUGAUUUACAGUACACACCUCAUGAAGAGUAUCAGAUCAUGACAUGCAGAGCUAGAAACACAAGGAGCCAUACAGAAACAGUCAGUGUGACAUGGAUCAGUACCAGUCUUUUAAAGUUAUACGGACCCAGAAGCAUGCAAGAAAACUCGCUCACAUUCAGUCAUUGAAUGAUGAAAGGAAAGGAAUGAAAUUUUCCUUACACAGAUUUCCAGAUAUGGACAAAUGUAAACUGACACUCAAACUCACCGAUCACAACAGGGAGGAGGUUAGUGUUAGAUGUUUGUUUGUUACAGUGCCCAGCAGUGACUGACAAAGUCUACUGUACACUCAAAUUAAAAAAAAACCCUGAGAUCGAAUGCAAUGAAAUUAAGCCUCAUGGUAAGGACAAAUGUCAAUGCAAAAUUAAUCCCUCAAUCACACAGGGUCAGUGAAUAUCUAAAGAGUUUAUGCUACAUUCAGACACAAAACCACAAAUGAACAUGGAAAGUGAAUGAAAUCCAUAUACUGUACCUGAGACUGUUGCAGACAUAACAAAGCUGGCAGAUAAAUACAGAACUAAUGUCAAAUUGGCACUAACAGAUAGCCACUGGCAGAGAGUGGAAGAAGUUCACAUUCCCAACAAUUACUGGAAACUAGUAUGCAGAAUAGAAUGUCCCAGUGCAAGCACAAUGGGCUGAAUGGUCUACUUCCGCACUGCAUCUUGAUUCUGAUCCUGGUUAUAAAGAAAAUGACAUUCCGUUGUAUAGAGUAUUAGUAUAAAAAUAUAAUGUAGAAAUAGACAGACAGGUGCAGAACGAAACUUUUAAUGAAAGAGCACUAACAAUGUCCAAUUCAAAAUGAAUCUAAAUGUCUCAUUGAUACUACGGAACCCUGAAAAAAAAAUCCCGUACUGACACCGAAAACCAGCAUCCGGUUCAUGCGGUAUAUAAAACCCACACUCAGCAUGCAAACUAGAAAAUGUGUUGUCGAUUUAGAAUGGUUCUCAGAGGAAAACAGUCCCACUUCUAUGACCCCUCCUAGAUCCUGCCAACUGAUAGUCAACUCAGAAGUCUCAAAAUGCGGAAGAGAUUAAUACCCAGUCUCAACACCCUAAUAGCUAUAUCAGAAUGUGUUGCAUUGUCACAGAGAAUAUUACUGGCUGCCAGAGAAUCAAGGCACAUUGAUACACAAGAGUGGAAAAUGACAGGUACAGAUUGAUACCUUUCCUGACUCAUUCACAUUCCAGAAACAGACAAAAGAAAACUGAUGAUGAAACUCACAUUCACAUGGUGGAAACUGAUAGGUACAGAUUUAUCAUGACACUCUCACAUUCAAACAGCAGAAACUGACAUGCAUGGACUGAUAAUUUGACUUGCCCAUUCACACAGCAGAAACUGUUUGGGAGAGAAUGGUAAAUGCAUUCACAUAUUCAAAACUCGGAAACUGACAGGUACAGGUUGAUGACUAAUAACUCUCAGAUUCAUAGAGCUGGAACUGACAGGGACAGAUGGGGAAAUGCACUCACACAUUUAUGUUGCAGAUACUGACAGGAAGAAUAAUGUUAUUACAUACAAAUUCACAGAAUAAAAACUGACUGGUACACAUUGAUAAAUGCGUUUGCACAUUCAAAACCAGAAACUGAUAGGUGGAAAUUGGUAGGUAAAAUCACACAUUCCCAGAGCAGAAUGAUUGAUUAUAACAGUCUUGGUUUCAAAUAACUGAUGGGGACAGAUUGGUAACUUCACUCACCGAUGCACAGAGCAGAAACUGACGGGCAUAGACCGAUAACUACACUCAUCUCCUGCCAUAGGUACUGAUUGACAAUGACAUGCACAUAUUCACAUAGAAGAAACUGACAGGUAUUCACUGAUAACUAAACUCAUGUAUUGACAUAACAGAAACUGUAAGGGAUAGACUGAGAAUUACACAAACAUAUUCACCAAGCAGAGGUUGACAGGUACAGAUUGAUAAUUACACAAACAUAUUCACACAGCAGUCUGAGAGGGAUAGACCGAUUGUUAAACUCACAUAUUGACAGAGCAGAAACUAACAGGCAGAAAUCGACAAUGAAACUCUCAUUCUUUUAGCUGACACUGACAGGUACAAAUUAAUAGCUACAUCUUCACAUUCACACAUUCACAAACCAGAAACUGACAGGUGCAGAAUAAUAACGACAUUGACAUAUUCACAUAGCAGAAACUGACAUGGACAGAAUAAAAAUAUCACUCCCAGGUUCAUUUGGCAUAAUCUGACCAGUACAGUUGGACAACUAAAUUCAUUUUCACAGAACAGAAUUUGCCAAUUAAAUAUUGAUAACUAUACUCCCAUAUUGACAGAGCAGAAACUGAUAGGCACAGAUUGAUAACUAAACUCACAUAUUCAAAAAGCAGAAUCUGACAGGUACAGAUCCAUAACUACACUCACAUAUUAACAUAUCAAUUACUAUCUGUUAGUUCCAGCUGACAACAUUCACAUAUUGACAUAGAAGUAACUGACAGAUAAAAAUUGAUAACUAUAUUUACAUAUUCCCAGACCUGAAACUGACAGGUACAGAGUGGUAAAUACACUCAUGCAUUCACAUAUUAGACUGACAGGGACAAAUUUAAAGCUACAUUUCACAGAGCACAAGGACAAGAACAGAUUGAUCACUACACUCAUGCAUUCACAUAGCAGGAACUAACAGGUACAGAUUGAUAAUUAAACUCAUGUUUUGAAGUAACAGAUGCUUGCAACUAGAGAUUAAUUACUACACCCUCAUAUGCACAGUGCAGAAACUGACAGGUAACUGAUAACUGCACUCAAACAUUC